rnacentral:rRNA from 1 species
AUACGGGAGGCAGCAGUGAGGAAUAUUGCGCAAUGGGCGAAAGCCUGACGCAGCAACGCCGCGUGCGGGAUGAAGGCCUUCGGGUCGUAAACCGCUUUUCGGGGGGACGAGUGAGGACGGUACCCCUGGAAUCAGUCUCGGCUAACUACGUGCCAGCAGCCGCGGUAAAACGUAGGAGGCGAGCGUUAUCCGGAUUCACUGGGCGUAAAGCGCAUGUAGGUGGCUCGUCAAGUCGCCUGUGAAAGCCCCUGGCUUAACUGGGGGAGGUCAGGCGAAACUGACGGACUUGAGGGCCGGAGAGGAAGGUGGAAUUCCCGGUGUAGCGGUGGAAUGCGUAGAGAUCGGGAGGAACACCAGUGGCGAAAGCGACCUUCUGGGCGGCGCCUGACACUGAGAUGCGAAAGCGUGGGGAGCAAACGGGCUUAGAUACCCUGGUAGU